GAGAGAGAGAGAGAGAGAGAGACGCAGCAGACGUAGCAGACGCAGCCUGCCAGAGGUCCCACCCGUGUGAGCGGAGUCGAAAUCCCUCCAGGAUGCAGCUGUUGUUUUCUCCCAUCGUGGCUUGUGGAGGAACCGAAUCUUGAAGUUUCUCAGAGGUCUUAUCUCUCCAACCCUUGCUUCAAUGUCUCGGAACAGUCCCCCACAAGCAAUGUGCCAAUCCUUCUGUGUUCAUAUAUUGCCAUCUAGUGUGAGCAGAAGAAGUUGCAAGCAGAUUCAUAGCCAGAGAAUGAUGGGAAGGCAAGGAAUGCCGUGUGGAGCAGUUCCACCACCAAAGAGAAGCAGAACUGGCUUCACAAGCUGCCUGGGUGGGAGACCACCUGGAAAUCAUCUGUAAGCUGCUUGAGAUACUUUGAGAAAGAAUAGGGGUAGAAAUGUGAAAUAAAUAAUGGGUCCAUUCCCCCCCCCCAA